UGGGGAAUUUUCCGCAAUGGGCGCAAGCCUGACGGAGCAACGCCGCGUGGGUGAUGACGGCCUUAGGGUUGUAAAGCUCUUUCGCCGGUGAAGAUAAUGACGGUAACCGGUAAAGAAGCCCCGGCUAACUUCGUGCCAGCAGCCGCGGUAAUACGAAGGGGGCUAGCGUUGUUCGGAAUUACUGGGCGUAAAGCGCACGUAGGCGGACCAUUAAGUCAGGGGUGAAAUCCCGGGGCUCAACCUCGGAAUUGCCUUUGAUACUGGUGGUCUUGAGUCCGAGAGAGGUGAGUGGAACUCCGAGUGUAGAGGUGAAAUUCGUAGAUAUUCGGAAGAACACCAGUGGCGAAGGCGGCUCACUGGCUCGGUACUGACGCUGAGGUGCGAAAGCGUGGGGAGCAAACAGGAUUAGAUACCCGGGUAG
rnacentral:rRNA from 1 species